rnacentral:rRNA from 1 species
CACGUAGGGCGCGAGCGUUGUCCGGAAUUAUUGGGCGUAAAGAGCUCGUAGGCGGCCUGUUGCGUCCGCUGUGAAAGCCCGGGGCUUAACCCCGGGUCUGCAGUGGAUACGGUCAGGCUAGAGGUAGGUAGGGGAGAAUGGAAUUCCCGGUGUAGCGGUGAAAUGCGCAGAUAUCGGGAGGAACACCGGUGGCGAAGGCGGUUCUCUGGGCCUUACCUGACGCUGAGGUGCGAAAGCGUGGGGAGCAAACAGG